rnacentral:rRNA from 1 species
AGUGAACGCUGGCGGUAGGCCUAACACAUGCAAGUCGAACGGCAGCACAGUAAGAGCUUGCUCUUACGGGUGGCGAGUGGCGGACGGGUGAGGAAUACAUCGGAAUCUACUUUUUCGUGGGGGAUAACGUCGGGAAACAUACGCUAAUACCGCAUACGACCUACGGGUGAAAGCAGGGGAUCUUCGGACCUUGCGCGAUUGAAUGAGCCGAUGUCGGAUUAGCUAGUUGGCGGGGUAAAGGCCCACCAAGGCGACGAUCCGUAGCUGGUCUGAGAGGAUGAGCAGCCACACUGGGACUGAGACAGGGUCCAGACUCCUACGGGAGGCAGCAGUGGGGAAUAGGGGAGAAUGGGCGCAAGCCUGAUCCAGCCAGACCGCGUGGGUGAAGAAGGCCGUCGGGUGGUAAAGCCCGUUUGUUGGGAAAGAAAAGCAGCAGGUUAAUACCCCGCUGUUCUGACGGUACCCAAAGAAUAAGCACCGGCUAACUUCGUG